rnacentral:rRNA from 1 species
AACGAACGCUGGCGGCAUGCUUAACACAUGCAAGUCGAACGAUCCCUUCGGGGUUAGUGGCGCACGGGUGCGUACCGCGUGGGAACUUGCCCUUAGGUUCGGUAUCCCUCAGAGAAAUUUGAGCUAAUACCGGUUAAUGUCUUCGCACCAAAGAUUUAUUGCCGUUGGAUGGGCCUGCGUUGGAUUCGCUGGUUGGUGGGGUAAAUGCCUACCAAGUCGACGGUCCAUAGCUGGUCUGGGAGGAUGAUCAGCAAGGCUGGGACUGAGACACGGCCCAGCCUCCGACGGGAGGCAGCAGGAGGGAAUAUUGAAGAGUGGGCGAAAGCCUGAGCAAGCAAGGCCGCGUGAGGGAUGCAUUCCUUAGGAUUGUAAAGCUCUUUUACCCGGGAUGAUAAUGACAGUACCGGGAGAAUAAGCCCCGGCUAACUCCGUG